AAUUUUAAUGGAAAAAUAAAUGAACAAAAUAAGAAUCAAGGUUAUUUGUAGUUCUAAAUAUUAUUAAGGUGUAUUUGCUCACUUUUUGUCUCUUCCAUGACGUUGUUCUUUUUUCCUACAACUUCUGUAAUGCCAUCAUGAUAUGCA